rnacentral:tRNA from 1 species
UGGGUGUUAGUUCAAUGGAACAACAUAUGUCUUACAAACAAAAGGUUGGUGGUUUGAUCCCACUAUACCUUA